CCUGUUCAGAGAACAAUGGAGCUGGCUGCUUGGCUGUAGAUCCAACAUCUCCUCAAUUGACCAACAGAGUAUUUGAUUUACAAACCAGUUGAAUGAACUCAGAUAAAUCAUUUGGACUGGAAAGCUUGCCUCAUGGUACUCUGUUCUUACCGACAGCCCAUUGAGUUGGACAAAUCCAUUACACCAGCAACCCUUGAAAGCAAAUCUUUUUCAGUGAGCGUGUCAUGGAACCACAGUUCCAUCCAUGGAGGAAAACUACGGCUCGCACUGCCUCAGGAAGGCAAAACACAUCCUAAGAGGUCCAAAUCAUCCUCACUUUUUGAGCUGCUUCCCUCUGGCAGACGUUUUAGGACAUGAAAAGCAAGAACAAACAGACUAAAAAACUGUUUUUAUUCAAGAGCCAUUACUGCUCUCAACACUGCUUGAGGCUUUUUGAAUAUUGACUUUGUGCAAUAUAGUCAAGUGCAAUACACAAGUGCAACAAUAACAAACUGUGCAAUAAUAAGACUCAGUGAUUUGAUUUGUAUGUUGUGCGUGUAUGACAGUUUUUUUAUUUUUUAUUAAGAUGUACUUUUUAUACCUUGAUUGUUGUUGUUUUUGUCUCUUUUAAAUGGCACCUAAUGAGGACUGCACCUUUCAAAUUCAUUGUGCUUGUUGCAAUGACAAAAAAUGCAUUCCAUUCGAUGUCCAGUUACAAGGUUUGAAAUAAAAAAUGAAACUGAAUGGUAAUAAAAAUAAAGAAAUGUGAACUAA